UUUUGAAAAAUGCAGUAAUUUUAAAAUACACAUAAGCACUUCUCUGUACUUUCAGUGUCUUCCUUUAAAUGAUUAAGUAUUUGAUAUCAACGCUCCCUUCAUAUUUUCUAUUUUCUAGAAAGCAGCAUGUGUAACAGCAAUAAGAGUAAGAAUCAGUCUUUCCCUUCUCACUCCUCCAACUCCAUCUGCUGAUCACUCCUAUGAGAGCUCUAACAACAGAGCUGCUUCUGAGCAUUGUUGAAGAUGUGGAACAGUGAAAUACUUUUUGUCAAGCCUCCAAGAGCAAAGAGCAGCAGAGAUGAGAUUUUGAAUACAUUGCAGAUCAAGACAUUUCAGUUUGAAUAUCAUAGAAUCAAACCAAAACUUGAGAGACAGAAGGCAAGAAGUUCAUCUUAGAGGAGCAUAUAUAGAAAAAUAGAAUGUCCUGCUUGAUAACAAGAAAUAAAAAUUGACAGCAUAAUGCCUUUACCACUUUAAGCAUGUUCAAGGUUGGUGGGUAUUUUUAUUAUUUUCCUUUUCUAUCUCAUAUUAUUUGCAGAAAUACAUUUCAUUCAUUGCCUGUUGCCAGUUGAGCUCUAACAUAAGAUCUUCACAAUCAAUGAUUGGUCUUGAGUCCUUCAGUGUCUGACUUGUCAACUAGUGAUUCUUUUUUUUUUGAAAGGCAACUAUUCACCGUUUCAUAAAAUCGUCUGCACUUCAUAUUGUCUCAAUUUCAGCAGUUGCAAGUACAGGUACUGAAAUACCACUAAUUGCUUUUAUAAUAAUGGGCUGAUGAGCAACACAUUUUUAAAACAAUGGGAAAAUAAGAAGUGAGAAGACUUUGUGAUUGUUCUUUAUGUCUAAGAAUGGACAGUCUGAGUAAAAUGUAAAAGAGUUAAUAGUUGUAAUGAAAUAACCUCAUUGUAUUGUAGCAAGUUAAAAAUGUGCCUCUUGCCGCAGAGCUUCCAUUAAUAUUGUUUGAGAGAAGUAGCAUCCAUGCACUGUAAUAGACUUUUAUUAAUAGGUCAGAACAGUCAUCAGUCUCUGGGUUGGUGUGAUAGCUGAAUACAGUGAACAUGACCAUCUUGACAAGCAAGUAGCAAAAUCUAUCAAUCACUUUCAGCAUGAAGAUGCUGUGAUAAUUAAGUUUACACUGGUAAUAAAAUAUGGAUAAAUAAAGUGUUCAAAGCCAUGGAAAAAGUAGGGUCCAUAGUGAAUAUCCUAUGAAAUAUAAAAGAGGGCAUCACCAUAAAUUCAUCUAGCUGUAUAGACUGAGAUCAUUAUUCUCUUGACCCAUCUUGCUAUUUUUAGAAUAUAAUUCAUGCAUUUUUCAAUCAUCACUGUUCGAUGGUAAAAUCACUCCCAGGCUCAUAGCCUAGGUUGGAUUUUUUUCUUGCUAUGCUCAUGUGCAAGGAUGUUCAGUGUCCUUCCUGUUGAUGGUGCUGAUGCCCUCAGCACAGAAAUGUGGUGGCAUUUUUUAGUUUGUGCUAAUCACUUUUUCUUUCCAGUAUUGGCCAGAUGAAGAUUGGGAUGUGCUCUGCUUCCUUUUAUGCUGUUCUGUGUGGGUGGUUGACUCCAUUUAUUUCUGUGGAAUUACUCUAAGUCUAUGGUUUAAGGAAAAACAAACUUCCUGGUCUAAUAGCUUCUGGUGCUAAUGAGUC
rnacentral:lncRNA from 13 species